rnacentral:rRNA from 1 species
GACGAACGCUGGCGGCGUGCUUAACACAUGCAAGUCGAACGGAAAGGCCCUGCUUUUGUGGGGUGCUCGAGUGGCGAACGGGGGAGUAACACGUGAGUAACCUGCCCUUGACUUUGGGAUAACUUCAGGAAACUGGGGCUAAUACCGGAUAGGAGCUCCUGCUGCAUGGUGGGGGUUGGAAAGUUUCGGCGGUUGGGGAUGGACUCGCGGCUUAUCAGCUUGUUGGUGGGGUAGUGGCUUACCAAGGCAUUGACGGGUAGCCGGCCUGAGAGGGUGACCGGCCACAUUGGGACUGAGAUACGGCCCAGAGUCCUACGGGAGGCAGCAGUGGGGAAUAUUGCACAAUGGGACGAAGCCUGAUGCAGAAACGCCGCGUGCGGGAUGACGGCCUUCGGGUUGUGAACCGCUUUCGCCUGUGACGAAGCGUGAGUGACGGUAAUGGGUAAAGAAGCACCGGCUAACUACGUG